ensembl:lncRNA
CUGGUGGCUGCCAGAGCAACUGCCUCUGUCAAAAACCCUCACCAAAGGUAAACUCUUAUUAAACACACACAAAAAUGAAGCUAAAGCAUUUGAAAUGUAAAGCAGUGAGUAAGACUUUCAUUGUAAUAAUAUCCCUUACCCCCUUUGUCUUUCAGAAGGGUUUUCUUGAGGGGAAACGUCUGUUUCACAGCAUUUGAUGGUACUAACUGUCUUUUUGGGGAGAAAAGUGUCAGUUGCAAUAAUCUGGAGUGGCUGCUGUUGCUGCUGGAGUCUAAUUCUAUUCCCUUUCAUACAAAACAAGACCAGCUUGUUCGGAGAGAAAAGUCAAAAGAAACUUCCAUCUCACCAUCCUGCCAACCCAAGCUGCCUUCGAUUCCAAGGCCAGGUGGGACCAUUUGUAACACAGGCCCGAGAACUGCCCCAAAAUCAUUCCCAGAGCAGAUCUUUUAGAAAAAAAAUAUCCAGUCCUGAUUUGAAAAUUGACAGUGAUGGAGAAUUCACCAUGACCCUUGUAAAUUGUUCUGGUGACUAAUUAUCCUCACUGUUAAAAAUUUAAACCUCUUCUUGUGGCUCCUUUCCCCAGGACAAUCUGAGUUCAUGCCAGUCUUUCUUCAUCUUCUGCUGGCUUUUAUGAACAAUACGAAAACCUAGUUGGUCUUCCGUUACUCCUUUGACAUGAGUUUCCUGUACCAUUGGGUGGGGGUUGGGGUGUGUGCUGGCUAAUUGGAGUGAGUGCUUCUUGUGAACAGACAUCUGAGUUUUCUGAAGUACAGCUGUUAGCUCUCUCUGAAAGUCAUGAGAAUCAGCCCUACUUAGGGAGAUCAGGGAAGGGAUUUUUGUUAAGGCAGCUGCGUUCUUUAACCCAGGGCAUAUUUUUCUGAUCAAUCAAAUAACAGAACCAGGCUCAGCUUGGUGCAUUGGAAAUUCACUUCACUUCGGAAAUUCACUGUACUACCAACUCCCUAGUGUUCAAAAACCUAAGGUUAAUCAUGAGGUGUUUUAAAGAUAAUAAUGAAUUUUGGGUUCUUUCUAAUUGCCGUUGGGUUUUAAAGCUUUCAGAUGCCCUCAAGCUUUUCACCAUAGCCACAAGGGCUAGAAAUGUAUUUAUAAAAAAAGAAAAAGCUAAUAAUAAUAUGUAGCUCUUGUAGAGCACAUUUCCUCAGUAGAUCUCAAAGCACUUUACAAAGGAAGGAAGUAUAAUUAUCCCCAUUUUACAGGUAGGGAAACUGAGGCACGGGGCAGGGACAUGACUUGCCCAAGGUCACCCAGCAGGCUAAUGGCAGAGUUUGGGUAGAACCCAGUCCAGUGCUUUACUCCAUGACUCCAACACCUGGGGCUUUAAUAAAAACACCAGCUAUUGUGAGAUUUAUGAUCAAAUUGCAAUAGCUGGCAACUUCUCCAAAGUGAAAGAUGAAUGCAGCAAGUUUCAUUCAGAAGAGAAUGGAUACAUUUAACACCUUAUCUGUUCCUCUGAUAUGGAUGAGCGACUAAGAAAGAGCCCUGAAUAAAUCAACCAAUUAGCAAUUCUCCUUCUGAAGUAUAACACACAAAAUAGAUCCAAAUCCAGUCAGCAGAUGUCACUUAGGCUACUUCUAGACUACCCGCCGUAUCGGCGGGUUAAAAUCGAUUGCUCGGGAAUCGAUAUAUCGCGUCUCAUCUAGACGUGAUAUAUCGAUCCCCAAGCGUGCUUAUAUCGAUUCCAGGACUCCACCAACCCCAACGGAGUUGUGGAAUCGACAGGGGGAGUCGCAGACAUCGAUCCCGCGCCGUGAGGAUGGUGAGUAAUCCAAUCUUAGAUAUUCGACUUCAGCUACGUUAUUCACGUAGCUGAAGUUGCGUAUCUAAGAUCAAUUUCCCCCCGUAGUGUAGACCAGCUCUUAGUUCUGAUGCCUCAUUUCUGGAAUGGUGCCCAUCCAACACAGCUUCCUGCAUAACCCAGGCCAGAGAUUCUCAUCCACUAAUUUCUGCAUCUAGUCCAAUAUUUUCUAUUUGACCUAAAAGACAUUCAGUCUUGCUGAUGGACUCCAUGUUUAUUCAGAGAACCACCCUGUUCACAGCAAAUGUUUCAAUAUUUCAAUGUUUCCAUGCCCCUCCCUGUUGAACCUUACUAGUCUGAAUUUUUCUCACAUCCGUUCCCAGCCAUUGGCUCGCUUCCUGCUUUUGUCUGCUGGAUCUUAACAGAGCUGUCUAUGUUGACUGUGAUCAAAUGACCUCUUAGUCUUCUCUUGCAGUAUUUGGCAUUUUUCUUAAAGCUCCCAGAGUCCUGUGAUUCUGCUGGACAAAUUUCUCAGCUUUCAUUAAAGAAAAAAGCACGUUUUUACCCUUCAUGGUCGCAAAGAAAAGCUUGAAAACCUGCAUCCUAAAGACGCCAUCACCAGAAGGCAAAUAAACACAAUCCCACAGUUGGUUGUUUGUUUUUUUUUAAAUCUAAUGAUUUUAAGUGAAUCUCAUGAUUUUCUGCUGGUAUGAUUUGUUCAGCAAAACAGCCUGAACUUGCUGGAGAAAUGACAAUGUUAGAUAGACCAAGGUCCUGGGCUCCCAAACUUUCUGAUUCAUUCCCUGAUUUAACAAAUACAAAGGAAGUUCUUUGGCAUAAGAAAGUAAAGGGGAAAAAAGGCACAACAGUGUCCAAGUCUGCUUUAUAAUAAGUGGAAUUGGGCUUGUUUCCCGCUUUAAUUUUUGGAAGGUUGUGGG